AGGCCGAAAGGCGUAGUCGAUGGGAAACAGGUUAAUAUUCCUGUACUUGGUGUUACUGCGAAGGGGGGACGGAGAAGGCUAUGUUAGCCGGGCGACGGUUGUCCCGGUUUAAGCAUGUAGGCUGGUUAUCCAGGCAAAUCCGGAUAAUCAAGGCUGAGGUGUGAUGACGAGGCACUACGGUGCUGAAGUAACAAAUGCCCUGCUUCCAGGAAAAGCCUCUACGCAUCAGGUAACUUCAAAUCGUACCCCAAACCG
rnacentral:rRNA from 1 species